rnacentral:rRNA from 1 species
AUACAGAGGGUGCAAGCAUUAAUCGGACUUAUUGGGUGUAAAGAGCGCGUAGGCGGGUAAGCAAGUCAGAUGUGAAAUUUCGGAGCUCAACUUCGAAGCUGCAUUUGAAACUACUUGUCUUGAGGGUAGACGGAGAAAACGGAAUUCCACGUGUAGCGGUGAAAUGCGUAGAUAUGUGGAAGAACACCUGUGGCGAAAGCGGUUUUCUAGUUUACUCCUGACGCUGAGGCGCGAGAGCAAGGGUAGCAAACAGGAUUAGAAACCCCAGUAGUCC